CCUCCUCUCUUUCAAUUGUGCCCUGAUUUCUAAUCGUUCUUCUCACCCUUUCUCCAGAACCUUAAUCGUCUCUCCCAAUUCCCAUCUCGCUGCGUUCUCCAAAGGAACGCCUACCAGUCUACCAUUGGCUCAGUGACCACUGAAAUUGCUCAAACGAAGACUUCUUCGGUCUCGAUCGCUUACAAUUCCUUUGUGUCACCGGCAAGUACUAUCCUGGUUUUUCAUGGCAGUGCUUGCUCUGACGCAAGUGCAAGGAAUUGAAGUUACAGAUCAGAGAUGCGCUUUAUCUGUUAAGAAAGAAGCUAUGGCUCUAAGAAAAUAAAUUUGAGAAGCACUUCACUUCUGAUGUGGAUAAUGAGUGUCAUGUAAGGGGAUUUUGCUAUUUGAAUCAUGUAUAUUUGGAGUAUUGCUUUCACUAAGUAAAAUAAUUAUUUUGAGGUGCUAUUGUGACUACUGCGAGAGUGAGACCUGAUGGCUUGGUCUUCACUACUGCUUACGAUUUAAUCGUCGAGGAGAGAAGCAGGUCUUUCGGAAGCGCUGGGUUGAGGCUGCCUUACUCUCUCCUUGAUUCACUAGCAGGUACCAACACCGGAGAGGGGAUGAAGCAUCGCUUUCCCUAUUGAGAUAGGGCAAUCUGCAUACUGGCUCACAGCCCCAAAGGUUCUGCUCUUAUUAAAAGAGUGUGGUAGGAGAAGGUCCCUGGAUAACCAAAGUUCAGAGUUUUUAAGAUCAACCCCAUUGAGCUCUUCCCAGCACCUUUUCUUGGAUAUGUAGGUUUGAUAUGCUUGCUUUUUGACAUUAGAUCAUAAAAUUGGAAUGGAAGAGAAAUGAUAUGACUGCAUAAUAAUGAAUAUUAUGAACAUUUAUGAUACAUGUCCAAACCUGUAUCACAUCUGGUACGAUAUGGAUUGCUGCAAAUUCAUCAUUGACCCUACUUUUUCGGUCAUUUUCUUUUUCCAUUUUCUCUGUAAUUCUUGGUUUAGUGUUUGGAAAUUAUGAAUGACAAAACUGUAAGUGUUGAUUCUAAGGCAACUCCUCAUCCAAGUUCUGAAGAAGUGGUUAUUGAAAGAGACUAGAGGAUCUGAGGAAUGGGAAAUAUGUUAUAGAGCAUGUUAAUAGCACAAGCAAGAGUCAUGUUCACAUAAUUGAGAUU